UGGGGAAUUUUGGACAAUGGGCGAAAGCCUGAUCCAGCAAUGCCGCGUGCAGGAAGAAGGCCUUCGGGUUGUAAACUGCUUUUGUACGGAACGAAAAGGCCCUUUCUAAUAAAGAGGGCCCAUGACGGUACCGUAAGAAUAAGCACCGGCUAACUACGUGCCAGCAGCCGCGGUAAUACGUAGGGUGCGAGCGUUAAUCGGAAUUACUGGGCGUAAAGCGUGCGCAGGCGGUGAUGUAAGACAGUUGUGAAAUCCCCGGGCUCAACCUGGGAAUUGCAUCUGUGACUGCAUCGCUAGAGUACGGUAGAGGGGGAUGGAAUUCCGCGUGUAGCAGUGAAAUGCGUAGAUAUGCGGAGGAACACCGAUGGCGAAGGCAAUCCCCUGGACCUGUACUGACGCUCAUGCACGAAAGCGUGGGGAGCAAACA
rnacentral:rRNA from 1 species